rnacentral:rRNA from 1 species
UACAGAGGGUGCGAGCGUUAAUCGGAAUUACUGGGCGUAAAGCGUGCGUAGACGGUUAUUUAAGUCGGGUGUGAAAGCCCCGGGCUCAACCUGGGAAUUGCAUUCGAGACUGAAUAGCUAGGGUACGGUAGAGGGAAGUGGAAUUUCCGGUGUAGCGGUGAAAUGCGUAGAUAUCGGAAGGAACAUCAGUGGCGAAAGCGACUUCCUGGUCCAGCACCGACGUUCAGGCACGAAAGCGUGGGGAGCAAACAGG